rnacentral:rRNA from 1 species
GACGAACGCUGGCGGCGUGCCUAAUACAUGCAAGUCGAACGGUCUUUUCUAUGGAAGCUUGCUUCCGCUGAGAAGAUAGUGGCGAACGGGUGAGUAACACGUGGGUAACCUGCCCAUAAGAGGGGGAUAACAUCCGGAAACGGGUGCUAAUACCGCAUAGUUUUCUUGAUCGCAUGAUUGAGAAAGGAAGACGGCCUUUGUGCUGUCGCUUAUGGAUGGACCCGCGGCGUAUUAGUUAAGUUGGUGAGGUAACGGCUCACCAAGACGAUGAUACGUAGCCGACCUGAGAGGGUGAUCGGCCACAUUGGGACUGAGACACGGCCCAAACUCCUACGGGAGGCAAGCAGUAGGGAAUCUUCCGCAAUGGACGAAAGUCUGACGGAGCAACGCCGCGUGAGUGAAGAAGGUUUUCGGAUCGUAAAACUCUGUUGUCAGAGAAGAACAAGUUGGAGAGUAACUGCUCCAGCCUUGACGGUAUCUGACCUAGAAAGCCACGGCUAACUA